GACGAACGCUGGCGGUGUGCUUAACACAUGCAAGUGGUGCGACGAACCAGGCUUCGGCCUGGGGCAAAGCCGCGAACGGUGAGUAACACGUGGGUAAUCUGCCCCGAUGACCGGGACAACCCGAGGAAACUCGGGCUAAUACCGGAUGUGGUGCCCAGACAUAAGUCUGGUCACUAAAGGUAGCUUCGGCUUCCGCAUUGGGAGGGCCCGCGGCCCAUUAGCUUGUUGGUGGGGUCAAGGCCUACCAAGGCAACGAUGGGUAGCUGGUCUGAGAGGACGAUCAGCCACACUGGGACUGAGACACGGCCCAGACUCCUACGGGAGGCAGCAGUGGGGAAUCUUGCGCAAUGCGCGAAAGCGUGACGCAGCAACACCGCGUGAGGGAAGACGGCCUUAGGGUUGUAAACCUCUUUCAGAUGGGACGAAAGGUUGUCCGGUUAAUAGCCGAGAUAAAUUGACGGUACGUCAGAAGAAGACUCCGGCUAACUACGUGCCAGCAG
rnacentral:rRNA from 1 species